GAUGAGAGCUAGAAACUUCUUCAAUGAUUUGCCUUGAAUUUGCCUGAGUAGAUUUGUCUUAAAAGCCUCUUAAACAAGAGCCUUUUGUGCUGAUUCUGGUUCUUUCCAUGUCGUCCUCUGAGGUGAUGGAUGUAGAUCCCUGAGCCAAAACUUGAUCCUUUUCCAGACGUGCAGGACUCAGUUGAAAAAGUAUUGUGAUUUGAGUACUUCCUUUAAAUCGAAAUCACCUCUCUUUGGUACUGGAGGAAACACAAGAGUCGGGUAUGACUCUUGGAAACUUUGGAGUAACUGUAUCAAGAAUACAAAACAAACGAGGCUGUAAUUAACACAAAAAAAAAGUUUCAUCCAAAUCCUUAAUCCAGUUGUAGAAAGAAGUAAUCUAACUAGAACAUCAUCAUUAGUGUUGAUAUUUUAUAAAGAAAUCUCUGUUUAUUGAUAAUAUAUAGAUGAAUCCAUAAUCAUUUGUUCAAUCAGUGAAUAAAGUAAAAUCAUGUUCAGUUCUAAGCUUCUAUCUACCAGAGAGAGAUAGAGUUAUCGAAAACUUACAUCUUCAAGGAUUGGUGAGCUGUAAAGCUCAACGAAUUUCUCUCUAAGUAUUCUGUUCAUUGUGUCAACAUCACAUGCAUGCGUCCAGUAGGAGUCAUGCACACCUGCCAAAAAAAAAACCAUUGAAUAAGAAGAGAUUCCAGUUCAGUUUUUCUUUUUCUUUUAGCAAGCCAUUUAGUUGAAAUAACAGGGACUAACCUGCAAAGUUUAGGCCAGCCUCUCGACAUGCAACAGCAGUCAUCAUCAUGUGAGUGCCGUCCAGCGAGUGCACAAAGUUUGGAGGAAACGCUGUUCUUUGUUUCCUAACAUCCACCUGACAAUUAAAAAUCUUUUUAAGUCUCCAAAGAUCAUACAACAAGUGAAAUCUUACUCAGUGCUCAUAAAGAAGAGAACAAAUACGCUUUACCGUGUUACCCUCUCGCUGCAGAGCCAAAACCUGAAGAGAUGUUCUUAUCUGCAGCCACAGUGCCCAUAGUUAAAACCACUACUCAAAACUAUUGGCUCUCCCAGUGGGAUGAUGCAUAUAGCUUACUUGAGGGGAUUCAGAAUGGAUAACACUUACCAAAUGUCUUUCACUUCUGCAAUAAGGUUGCACAACAGGAAGUCCAAGAGGCGUAGUCCAUCGCACUGGAUGAUUAUCUAAAGCUAUUAUCUGUAACAUUCACAAGAGAAAAACAAAAUAUCUAUUAGGUCUCUCACCUACCAAGGUAAAGUAUCAGAGUUAACAAUAACAAGUUACAAGACUGUACUACCUUAGCACAAUCACCAAGCCAACUCAUAAUGGCACGUGCGGCUUCAAAUAUCUCUCCAAGGGCUGCUAGUGUCACCUGAGAGGAUUAAUGUUUAUAGUAUAAAAUCAACAUACAACUAGGAAAAAAAAAUAUUAUUCGCGUGAAUGAUGUUACUCUUUCUUACUUUUGCAGAAUAGCAAGCAGCAGCGAAUAACAUUCUCUCGUCAGUGAUAACACCUUUCUCUUCUAAUCUUCUUUUUAUCUGUUCACGCGCUCCAACAUAGGUCACACCAUAUACUGACGUCAUUACCGUCUGCUUUACCAGCUUCCUGUCCACCUGAAAUCAGAAGAAUAAUACUUAGUUUCAUCGAGAAAGACCUUUUUCUGUGGUAGUAUAAAAACAACUGAGACUCACUUGAUUGAUAAGGAUCUUUGCCAAUGCGGCGGUUGGGUUUGACUCAGGAUCCUUACUGCUAUCCUUCUUCAUUAUUUCAUGGACUCUAUCUCACCACAAGCGAAGAAGAAAAGAGAGAACAACAAAGAGGAAAGGGUACCAUUAGAAGCAACACAUGGCAUGAUUCUAACAAAAUUAAUUGCUAAUAAGAUACCUCAAUGAAAUUUCAGAAUAGACAUCAGCUGGUUUUUCUCCCGCAACUAGAUUAACUGCUGCAGCUUCAAACUGAGAAAUACCAGUUUACAAGAAGAAAACUAUAUGAGACUAAAUAUGACACCAAACAAGAGCAAAGGCAGAUCAUAAAUGUUCACAAGAGAACCUACACUAUCUCUUCCUAAAGCUGCAUAAUGCUGUAGACCAUUGCAAGACCCAUCCUGCACAUUACAAAUGAAGAGUUGAUUCAGAGCUAACGAAUGAACAGAAAACGUUAAUAGAGUUGUUUUACAGUUCAAUGCAAAGAGUGAAACCCAAUUGAAAUUUUAUUCAACCGGAUACAGAAACCAAGUGCCUAGUAACAAAAAAGAAAAGACUAGAGCCUAGUUAAAUUUUAUGGUGCUUACCUGAUGAAUAGGCAAGUUGGAGAUUACAGAAUGAGGUGAAGGGCUUUUCAAGGCUUGUGCCAGAAUAACACAUGCAGCCAAACACUGAAAAGGAUCCUCAGCCUUCAACCACCAUCUUUUCCCAUGAACAGCAUUUUCAGCAGACUCUAUUAUAUCAUCCAAAUGGUUUUCCACAAAAGCAAGACGCCCAUCAUGCGAAAGCUUUUCGACACCACCUGCGUAGAGGUUCGCUAAAUGUAUUUUCAGCCAAUACAAGCCUGACUUUCCAAGUGGACGUCCUUCAGCAAACUCCAGGGUUCCACGGCAAAGAUCAGAGCUCAGAUGGUUUAGAUGAGGGUGCAUUGGGUAUGCACGGCCCCUGAAGUCGAGAUUGUGAGGGUAGUAGAAUCCUUCCUCGUCUUUCAUUUUCCUAGCCACCUGAAACUUAUUAUCUUCAGUCCAUAUCUUUGCUAGCAAGUCAAGACGAAACAAAAGAGGGAUAAUCUUACAGAAAGCUUGAGCUCAACAUCACAUCUUAGAGAAUGCCUCUCUCUGUUAAUCUUUUUCGCCUUUCUAACACUCCAUUUCCACAAUUGGAUCUCUUCUGGAUCCUCAGACAAAGGUUUCCCUGGUAUGGGAACCUAAGAAACAAAAAAAAAAGGAGAAUACAUACAUUAUCAAACACAUACCAUUCCAGAUCCUAUAAGAUGUCUAUUUACUUACGUCUUCUCGAUUAACUAAGCCUGCAAUGUUGCCUCCAUCGGCCCAUAGCCUUUCCACCACAUCAAGUAUUUUCCUAUUGACCCUCCACUUGGUGUUCCCAAGUGUAUCCAACGCCUGAUCAAGUUACAUUUCGAAACAUUAAUGUAUAACAUUACCAGACAGAAACAAAACAGAAAAUAUAAGAGCAAAGACACCAAUGUACCUCAAAUACUCUAUGAGCAGUCUUGGAACUAAUAUCUUUAAGCGCAUCUUGCUGUUUCUUGGAUCCGUGAGUACGCAUGAUAUAGGAAGGCAAAAACAAGUAACCACCCUUGUCAUAUCUGAAGAAAAAUGUAUAUGUAAGAAUGAGAACACAUGGCUAUAGAUAGCGUGGGAGUAUGAGGUUCUCAAUAACAGGCAAUGAUUCAUAAGUAAGGGUAUAAAAUCUAGAACCAAAGAAGAAAGAAUUGAUCAAAGCAAUACCCUUUCCAUCUCUUUGGUGGUACUAACAUCGGAACAUAGGGAAUUAACAUAUGCUUAGCCUGCAUGAGACAAUAACAAUGGAAGAUCACCUAAUAGCUCAAGAAUGUCACAUCUUUAAAUCAGAAAAGAAAGAUCUUAACUCACAGAUUUAUCCAGUCCUGCAAGCAGGAGCGAGUCACAUUCAAUAACUCCGUAUCUCCUCACCAGCUUUGACCUACAAACACAAAAUUUCCAAGUGAUAAGUGUACACAAAACAAUUAAGUAAAAAGAACAAACCAGAGAAAGGUAAGCAUCACACUAGUACGAUGAUGAACAUUACCCUGGAUAUUUGGUCACCGUUUUAAACUUGUGUCUGAACGCAGGCCGAACCUCGGGUAUAGAGUCUCCUGACUGGGUCAGGGGAGGUUGCACAUAAGCUGUUUCCAUUAAUAGUUCCAGCAGACGGCUUCCAAGCUGAAAAUCAACAUGAGUCCACCCAUGAAGACGACAUUUUGCAAAAUAUUAUCAAUUCCACUCAAAACGCCACAGACCUUAGCUUGUGUAGCUCGCCCCCAUGGUUUGAUACCAUCACUCUUCACCACUUUUAGCGCAUCAAUAAUCCUCUUCCUACGAAUCAAACUAUUGACACGUUUCCUAAGCAACUGCUUAUCCUUUAACUCCUCUUGUGAGUCCCCUGCAUUGUUCUUCCGAGUUCUCUUCAAGAAGUUAUGAAUCCUCACCUUUAAAAAAUCAAACCAAAACUCUCAUACAUAACUGCUUCACACACCUUACUUGAAAAUACUAAACUCAUAUCAUACCUCAUGCUCUAUUGCUAUGCCGAUACUAACAGCAGCUUGAACAACUUGGAUACACCCAUCCUCAUGUCCGGACAUAACCAAACCCAUCAUCUUAUGCAUCACAAUAACCGCCAUUUUAUCAGCAGGCAAAAGCUCGAUGUGGGGCGCAUAAGCCGCUCUGACCUUCUUGCUCUUGUUCUUCUGCAGCCUCUGCUCCCUCUCGAUCACAUCUUUCAACGGCUGGAACCAACCCAGGAACAUGUGUUUCACGUAAGGUAGAUUGGGAGCGAGACUCUUCUCGCACAUCUCCUUCUCCAACUCUCUGUACUCAUCGACCAUCCUCUCCCAGCCAAUAUUAUCCCCAAAAGAGGGGAGAAGAGACGAUGACAAACUGAUAAUUCAGUAAUUUAGUUUAUAUGCAGAACGUUUCCAUGAACUCAUAUUGGAAACACUGACAGGUAAAUAAAAAACAAUAGUACAAAGAUUUGAAAAAGAAGAAGAAUACUGUUUAUGAUUUGUGGACCUUUGACAGUAGCUACUGAGAGCACUCAUGACUACACUAAAGUAAAAGAAAGAUUUUCCACUGUAACAAAGAUAACAAAUAUAAACACCUUGAACUCCUUAAUUAAUUAUCUCUAAGAGAGAACAUUGGAACCGGCACGUGUCUAGGCGAUGGAGCAGCACACAUUGUGACGGAACUAGCAAACCGUUCUUUCUGUGGUUUCUGCCAUCGCACAGUCUUGAUCGUGCUCGGAGCUUUAAACGGCUCCCCAUCAGGUUUAGUUUCAGAUGGAGCAGCAGCACCCACUGUGAUCGAACCACCAAGCAGUUCUUGUUCUUGAUUCAGCGGCAGCACAGUGUCGAUCGUGCUCAGAGCUUGAACCGGACCCGGUUUAGUUUGCAAGGGUUUUGAAGGUUUAAGAGGAGCUUUUGGUGAGCGUUUCAAAGCGGCGAUUGGAACCUUUUGAUGAAUAUGUAAAACAGAGUUACGAGCGAUGUAGUGAAAAGCGAUUCCAUGUCUUGUGUGAAACGGAACGACAAAAAGGUCUGUGACAAGGAACCGGUGUCUUAACACAAUCGACAUAUCUUGAAGAGAGAUGUGAUGAUAAAGAAAGAUAAAUUCUUCGAUAUGUUGUUGUAAUUUUCUGCAAACUAUGAACGAGUGAUUUGUGAGAAACAAUGAGAGGGUUAGAGGUUUAUUUAUAAGGUCUAAAUUAUUCACCUUCGAGCCUAAUUAUGGAAAGUAAAGAGUUAUUACAAAAAAGGAAACAUCCGUAACGACCGAUAACAAAUUAAAAUAGGAAAUCUAGCUCGAGUGAUAUUUCCUUUUUGCAUAUCAUUAUGACAGUAUAUUUAUAAAAAGGAAAUAUAUAUUUUUGACCACUAGCUUCUUAUACCCAUCUUUCUUGUGAAACAAGUAUGUUAGUAAGUUGCACUAGACUAGAGUAACAGACAAUGGAACAUUUGCUGAUCAAUUUCUAAUUUUCACUAGAGUUUUUAAAACCGGUUCCUCUCCUGUAUGAUUAUGCAUAACCGGUCAAGCGAUUUCUGAGGGGAGAUGUUGCUACAAAACUAGGUGCCUGACAACUACACAACUGAUUCAUUAGCUUAUGGUUCCCGGAAAGAAGUCUCAUCUUUUGACAAAAAAGUUGGCUACAAAAUCACACAGAGGUUACUACAAAACUAGGUGCCCUUCUGUUUUUUUUUUUGAGUUCUUGUUUCUAUAUGAAAUUCUCUCUCCUGUACAACAGUACCAAUGACAUACAACAUAAACUAAACCUAUUCUCAUUCCCAAAUAACAUGCUUGAUGCAAUGACUUUGCAUCCAUUAUUUAAUACUACCUAUGACCUACCUGAUGAGAGCUAGAAACUUCUUCAAUGAUUUGCCUUGAAUUUGCCUGAGUAGAUUUGUCUUAAAAGCCUCUUAAACAAGAGCCUUUUGUGCUGAUUCUGGUUCUUUCCAUGUCGUCCUCUGAGGUGAUGGAUGUAGAUCCCUGAGCCAAAACUUGAUCCUUUUCCAGACGUGCAGGACUCAGUUGAAAAAGUAUUGUGAUUUGAGUACUUCCUUUAAAUCGAAAUCACCUCUCUUUGGUACUGGAGG
rnacentral:lncRNA from 1 species